rnacentral:rRNA from 1 species
CCGGCCUGAGAGGGUGAACGGACACACUGGAACUGAGACACGGUCCAGACUCCUACGGGAGGCAGCAGUAGGGAAUAUUGCUCAAUGGGGGAAACCCUGAAGCAGCAACGCCGCGUGGAGGAUGAAGGUUUUAGGAUUGUAAACUCCUUUUGUUAGAGAAGAUAAUGACGGUAUCUAACGAAUAAGCACCGGCUAACUCCGUGCCAGCAGCCGCGGUAAUACGGAGGGUGCAAGCGUUACUCGGAAUCACUGGGCGUAAAGAGCGCGUAGGCGGGAUAGUCAGUCAGGUGUGAAAUCCUAUGGCUUAACCAUAGAACUGCAUUUGAAACUACUAUUCUAGAGUGUGGGAGAGGUAGGUGGAAUUCUUGGUGUAGGGGUAAAAUCCGUAGAGAUCAAGAGGAAUACUCAUUGCGAAGGCGACCUGCUGGAACAUUACUGACGCUGAUUGCGCUUAAAGCCGUGGGAAAA